UCUUGCGCAAUGGGCGAAAGCCUGACGCAGCCAUGCCGCGUGUAUGAUGAAGGUCUUAGGAUUGUAAAAUACUUUCACCGGUGAAGAUAAUGACUGUAGCCGGAGAAGAAGCCCCGGCUAACCUCGUGCCAGCAGCCGCGGUAAUACGAAGGGGGCUAGCGUUGCUCGGAAUUACUGGGCGUAAAGGGAGCGUAGGCGGACAUUUAAGUCAGAGGUGAAAUCCCGGAGCUUAACUUCGGAACUGCCUUUGAUACUGGGUGUCUUGAGUGUGAGAGAGGUAUGUGGAACUCCGAGUGUAGAGGUGAAAUUCGUAGAUAUUCGGAAGAACACCAGUGGCGAAGGCGACAUACUGGCUCAUUACUGACGCCGAGGCUCGAAAGCGUGGGGAGCAAACAG
rnacentral:rRNA from 1 species